AUCGGAACGUUGCAGAGCCCCUGGUGUCCCACGGCAACGGAAUGGAGCGAACAGAGACAAACCAGCACACAGAAACCAAAACAGAACCAACAGAAGCAGAUAACCACAGGGAUACGUCACCUGUCAGAUCUGAGAAGACUGGCGUCACGACGGAGGUGCUGGUGCAAGUGUCCUGUCUGCUGCAGCUGUUUGACAGGUG